ACUGCUCAGUAACACGUGGAUAACCUGCCCUUGGGUCCGGCAUAACCCCGGGAAACUGGGGAUAAUUCCGGAUAACGCACAUAUGCUGGAAUGCUUUAUGCGUAAAAUGGAUUCGUCUGCCCAAGGAUGGGUCUGCGGCCUAUCAGGUAGUAGUGGGUGUAAUGUACCUACUAGCCGACAACGGGUACGGGUUGUGAGAGCAAGAGCCCGGAGAUGGAUUCUGAGACAUGAAUCCAGGCCCUACGGGGCGCAGCAGGCGCGAAAACUUUACAAUGCGGGAAACCGUGAUAAGGGGACACCGAGUGCCAGCAUCAUAUGCUGGCUGUCCAGGUGUGUAAACUACACCUGUUAGCAAGGGCCGGGCAAGACCGGUGCCAGCCGCCGCGGUAACACCGGCGGCCCGAGUGGUGAUCGUGAUUAUUGGGUCUAAAGGGUCCGUAGCCGGUUUGGUCAGUCCUCCGGGAAAUCUGACGGCUCAACCGUUAGGCUUUCGGGGGAUACUGCCAGGCUUGGAACCGGGAGAGGUAAGAGGUACUACAGGGGUAGGAGUGAAAUCUUGUAAUCCCUGUGGGACCACCUGUGGCGAAGGCGUCUUACCAGAACGGGUUCGACGGUGAGGGACGAAAGCUGGGGGCACGAACCGGAUUAGAUACCCGGGUAGUCCCAGCCGUAAACGAUGCUCGCUAGGUGUCAGGCAUGGCGCGACCGUGUCUGGUGCCGCAGGGAAGCCGUGAAGCGAGCCACCUGGGAAGUACGGCCGCAAGGCUGAAACUUAAAGGAAUUGGCGGGGGAGCAC
rnacentral:rRNA from 1 species